rnacentral:rRNA from 1 species
GGCCCCCCGCGCCGUCUGCCCCCCAGGUCGGCCGCGCACGCUGCGUGCGCCCGGUCCAUGGUCCGGAGGGCAAGCCCAGAGGGCAGAGGGGCACCAACUUUCCGUAGACCGGGCGCAGGCCAGAGUCCGGGCCGGUCACGCCGUCCGCGUGGCGUAGUGCGCAGGCGGCCACGGGCGCGACGGGCAUGCGGCCACCAGAGGAGAACCGUUAUCUUUACCGUGCCCCCCGCUCCCCAUAAUCCCAAAUCGCGCAAGGAGGAACUCAAAUCCAGAGCCCUCUCCUCCCCAAACCCUCCCCUCCCCUCCCCUAGCGGAUCCACACCUCUCCCUCGCGGCGGCGGCGGCGGCCAGAGCGGGAAGCGAAAACUCGAAGCAGCCCCCGAGCGGCGAGCAUGGCCAGCGAAGGCGAGCACGCGGCGGCGGCGGGCGAGCAGACGCCGCUCAAGAAGGCGGGCGAGGCGGAGCAGGGCGAGGAGCUCCAGGCCCCCUCCGGCUGGACCAAGAAGCUUAAUCCCACUCGGGGUGGGAAGUUUGAGGUUGCUUUUGUUGCACCAACUGGCGAGGAGGUCAAGACCAAGAGAGCUUUAACCACAUACCUAAAAGCACACCCUGGAGGCCCUGCUCUUUCAGAGUUCGUCUGGGCAACCGGCAAUACUCCCAGACGGUCCUCACGUCUAAGUGCGAAGCCUAAGGCUACUGAGAGCCCAGAAGAUGAGAAACCCUCACGCCGAAGUGGAAAGUCUAAGGCUACCGAGAGCCCGGAAGAUGAGAAACCUGCCAAACGGGGAAGGCCCUCAAGCUCUAAGAAAGGCAAAAAGGGGAAACAGGAGGAUGCAGAGGACGCAGAAGCUGAAAGUGGAGAUCAUGCUGAUGCUGAAGAAGCCAAAGGCACUGAAGUGGAGAUGAAAGAUGCUGAAGAAGCCAAAGUCACUGACCUGGACCUGGAGAUGAAAGAAGCUGACAAUGCUCAGGAAGAGAAGAAAGAGGAAGAGGCUGGCGGUUCGGUUGGAGAGAAGAAAGAGGCUGACACUGUUGCUCAGGAAGAGAAGAAAGAGGCUGACACUGUUGCUCAGGAAGAGAAGAAAGAGGCCGACCCUGUUGCUCAAGAAGAGAAGAAAGAGGCCGACACUCUUGCUCAAGAAGAGAAGAAAGAGGCUGACACUGUCGCUGAAGAAGAGAAGGAAGAGGCUGACACUGUCGCUCAAGAAGAGAUGAAAGAUGCUCCUGUCGCUGAUGCCCCAGAGAAGACUGAAGAAGUGGAAGGCGAAGCAGCUGAAUCUGAAGUAGCUCCCGUGGAGACCGAGAUGCCUGACCCUGUAACAGAGAACAAGGAAAACGAGAAGCCAGCUGAAUUUGAAGAAGUCCCCGUGGAGUUUGAGAUGUCUGACCUUGUAUCAGAGAACAAGGAAAAUGAGAAGCCAGCUGAAUCUGAAGAAGUCCCCGUGGAGUUUGAGAUGUCUGCCCCUGUAUUAGAAGAGCAUAAGGAAGAUGAAAAGCCAGCUGAAUAUGAAGUAGCUCCCGUGGAGGGUGAGAAAACUGAAAACGGCCUGGCGGUUGAAUCCACAGUGUCACCUCCAGCAACUUCAGAGGAAAAGAAAGUAGAAGCAGAUAGCACCAUCAAUCCGGCGACCCCUCCUCCAGCGGAGGUGAAGGCAGAUGCUCCAGCGGCAGAGGCAGCAAAGGCUGCGGAGAAUCCAGCAGACAACACUGCUCACAAGGAUGACCAGGGUAACGCCGGCACCACGGGAGAACAAUCCACCGGGAACGUCGACAACAAUGGACAGAUUCAUCCAGGUGUUUCUACCGUGCGGUGCAUCUGAAGGUAGGUUCCGUGGACGACGACAGGCGAGGCGAGGCGAAACGACGACAGGCGAGGCGAAACGGGGAACAAACUUGGUCUCUGUGUGCUUAGGAUGGAGUCCCGUAUUUGCUUUGAGAACUGUAAGCGUGUUUAACCUGACAGCGCCUGUAAUUGUAGGCCCUUUCCGCAUACUUCACAGCUUGUUGUCUUAUGAGGUGCUGCAGGGCAGCAGGCUGGCUUAUGCCGCCUCGGUCAUUAUUAUCAUUUGUAACUUGUUAGAGUGCACAUUAAUCUCAGGAGGACAUAGACAUAAUACUUAUGCUGCUGUUGUUGUAACGACCUUUAUGCCUUUGCCUUGUGUUGCUAUUCAUAAAUAAGCCUUGUAGGCUUGAACAUGGGUUGGGUUGCUAGCUGGG